UGGGGAAUAUUGCACAAUGGGCGAAAGCCUGAUGCAGCGACGCCGCGUGAGGGAUGACGGCCUUCGGGUUGUAAACCUCUUUCAGUAGGGAAGAAGCGAAAGUGACGGUACCUGCAGAAGAAGCGCCGGCUAACUACGUGCCAGCAGCCGCGGUAAUACGUAGGGCGCAAGCGUUGUCCGGAAUUAUUGGGCGUAAAGAGCUUGUAGGUGGCUUGUCGCGUCUGCCGUGAAAACCCGAGGCUCAACCUCGGGCGUGCGGUGGGUACGGGCAGGCUAGAGUGUGGUAGGGGAGACUGGAACUCCUGGUGUAGCGGUGAAAUGCGCAGAUAUCAGGAAGAACACCGAUGGCGAAGGCAGGUCUCUGGGCCAUUACUGACACUGAGAAGCGAAAGCAUGGGUA
rnacentral:rRNA from 1 species